GUGUGUGUGUUUGUAUAGUGUGUAUAUAAUGAAUGGUGUGUGUGUGUUUGUAUAGUGUGUAUAUAAUGAAUGCAGUGUGUGUGUUUGUAUAGUGUGUAUAUAAUGAAUGCAGUGUGUGUGUGUGUGUUUGUGUAUAUAAUGAAUGCAGUGUGUGUGUGUGUUUGUAUAGUGUGUAUAUAAUGAAUGCAGUGUGUGUGUGUUUGUAU